UCGUACAACUGCUAGUGCUUACAGUCUUCUUGAUUGUGUGUACAGUUGGAUGAUGUUUAAUAUAACUCCUCAAGUUCAUUGUUAUCGGAAAUUCUGUUGUAUAGGCGACUAUAUAUCAGCAGAAGGCAUUGGAUAUCAAUGAAAGAGAGCUGGGGCUUGACCAUCCAGAUACAAUGAAGAGCUAUGGGGAUCUAUCAGUAUUUUAUUAUCGCCUUCAGCAUAUUGAAUUGGCUCUGAAAUAUGUCAACCGUGCAUUGUUUCUUCUCCAUUUCACAUGUGGGCUUUCUCACCCAAAUACAGCAGCUACUUACAUAAAUGUAGCUAUGAUGGAAGAAGGCAUGGGAAAUGUUCAUGUUGCUCUCAGAUA